CGGCUCCCCCACGUUAAAAGGGUCGAAACGGGUAGAUUUCGGGUGUCCUGAAAAUGUUCUCGGAACUUCUAACAGCUUCUCUCUGCUCUGCGGCGUCGGAAUGCUGUGCUGAGGAUUGUUAGGGUUUCAAGUAAAACCGCAAGUUUUCCUUUGUUUCGGACCGGAGGGAACAGGAGCGGCCCUUAAUUGCGCCUGUAUCGUGUCAUUUCGUUCAAAAUCAAAUAUUUCGCAGAGUGGUGCACUGUGGAAAUGGAUACCUUUCACAAAUUUAAUGACAGAGUUGCUGAUAAUAAGCAUAGAAAGAGUAUCACUAGCCCUCAGGAUAAAGAUAGAUGUAAGAAAAUGGGAUGUGAAGAAAAGAAUGCAGCUAUACAUGAAGAAAUCAAGAGAAUGAAUCAACUUCCUGCCAACAGCUCAUAUGCAACUCAUCGCUUGCGGGUUCUCAACAAAAUAUUGCAACUUCUGUCUGUUGAGAGAACAACAUCCCAGGAGGAGGAAUUGCAGUUGCUGUUUGCCGGGCUUUCUCUAUGAACAUAUCCAGAUUAUCUAUGCAGUGAACACGGUCCUGUAAAUCGCAUUUUCAUAGUUGAAGCUGGGCUGACAGGUUGCCUACUGUAAAAUGUAAAUGACAGCAUGCAGAUCCCUAUAUGCUUAUUUCAUGUAAUGCUUGUAAAUGCUUUUUUAGAGUACGUGCCUCGCCCUAAAAUAUGCUAUUAAAUUUGGUUUGAGAAUCCAGUUUUUGUGCCUUAUUUUCAGAUGAUGUUGUCUGCUAUUAAAUCCUUGGUGGUGACAAUUUAGCCAAGUGUGUGUGGCCGUGGUGGCUUAAUUUGGUGGUUGGAGACUGCCAAGCUUUGUUGAUUUGUUCUAUUUUGAAUUGACCUCCAUUUCUUAUU